CGAUAACCGCUGAAAGCAUCUAAGCGGGAAGCGAGCCUUGAGAUGAGUUCUCCCUGAUACUUUAAGUAUCCUAAAGGGUUGUCGUAGACUACGACGUUGAUAGGCAGGGUGUGUAAGCGUUGUGAGGCGUUGAGCUAACCUGUACUAAUUGCCCGUGAGGCUUAACCAUACAACACCCAAGGGGUUU
rnacentral:rRNA from 1 species